rnacentral:rRNA from 1 species
AGAGUUUGAUCCUGGCUCAGGAUGAACGCUAGCUACAGGCUUAACACAUGCAAGUCGAGGGGAAACGACAUCGAAAGCUUGCUUUUGAUGGGCGUCGACCGGCGCACGGGUGAGUAACGCGUAUCCAACCUGCCCACCACUUGGGGAUAACCUUGCGAAAGUAAGACUAAUACCCAAUGACGUCUCUAGAAGACAUCUGAAAGAGAUUAAAGAUUUAUCGGUGAUGGAUGGGGAUGCGUCUGAUUAGCUUGUUGGCGGGUAACGCCACAAGGCGAUGAUCAGUAGGGGUUCUGAGAGGAAGGUCCCCCANAUUGGAACUGAGACACGGUCCAAACUCCUACGGGAGCA